rnacentral:rRNA from 1 species
GAUGAACGCUAGCGGCAGGCCUAAUACAUGCAAGUCGAACGGUAAGUUGAAUAGCAAUAUUUGACCUAGAGUGACGUACGGGUGCGUAACACGUAUGCAACCUACCUUGCACAGGAGGAUAGCUCGGGGAAACUCGAAUUAACCCUCCAUAAGAUCGUGAAGUGGCAUCACUUAGCGAUAAAAACUCCGGUGGUACAAGAUGGGCAUGCGUCUGAUUAGUUAGUUGGCGGGGUAACGGCCCACCAAGACGAUGAUCAGUAGGGGAACUGAGAGGUUGAUCCCCCACGCUGGCACUGGGAUACGGGCCAGACUCCUCCGGGAGGCAGCAGUAGGGAAUAUUGGUCAAUGGAUGCAAGUCUGAACCAGCCAUGCCGCGUGCGGGAAGAAGGCCUUCUGGGUUGUAAACUGCUUUUGCCAGGGGAUAAAAAGACCUUGCGAGGUUAAUUGAAGGUACCUGGUGAAUAAGCCACGGCUAACUACGUGCCAGCCGCCGCCGUAAAAC